UGUUGAAUCUUUACGUAGGCCUAAAUUAUGUAUUUCCAUUUAUUCACUUUUAAUUCUGUGGGGAAACUACACAGAGUAUCUUUUUAAUAUAUUCCUUUCCUAUUUUCUCCAUAACCUCUGUAAGUGCUUAGAGAAAACUAUGUUGUUCACCUAAUGUCUAAUAUGUUUUGCUUUUCAUUACUCAUUCCAUAUUCCUGAUAUCAUUAUUUAUUUUCUCAUUUAACCUUAAAUUUCAAAAUUCUGCCACAGUGAAUUAAUUCUUCCUAAUCCUGGAGACUAGCCUUUUAGCUAUGGAAGGUGAAUGACAUAGUAUUUGAAUAAUGACUAAUGUGAUAAACAGUGUAGAGCGGCUGCCUCUCGUUGCUUUUUACUAGUGUACAAUCAUUACUAGUGCAGGAUUGAGUGAUUUGGAUGAAGUUUACUUAAGGAUCACUGUCAUUAUAUAUUUAUGAAUAACUGCAAACACUAUUUAGGAUAAGCCAUUCCCUGAGAAUUGGCAUGCCACAUCAGGGACUGGAUGAUAGAAUUCCUAGGCCUGUGUUUAUGGCACUAACAAUCUGUUUCAUAAGCCAGCCUGUGCAAGCUAAUGAUCAUAGUCACUAACCAUUCUAUUCUCAUUUUAAUAAAAAUUGCAGAGAGAGGAAAGAAUAAUAAGAGAAAAAAGGUGAUAGAUGUACUGCAUAGGCUAUCUGUAAACAAAUAAAAUCCAUUUAGCCUUGUUUGGAGUAACAACAACAAAAAAAAUGUUCAAACCUCUAGUAGCAGCAACAAGAUAUUGCCAUUUAUACUCAUAUAGUGCCCUGUAUUCUAUCCCUUUUUUGCAAAAGAGGAAUAAAGGGUAUCCCUGAACAGAGUAAUCAAAUCCUCUGUUUUUGGUGGUGGUGAUGUUGAAUUUUAAGAGAGGGGGAGGUUGCCUUCUGAAGCUUUUCAAAUAGCCUAGUAUUCUUUUCCAUUACCAGAAUGUUUAUUUUGUCAGUAACAAUUAUAGCUACCAUGGAAGGUACUGUGAUUUUGUGGGACACACAGAGAAACAAAAGAUUAACUUACACUAUUGUCACUGAGCAGGCUAAACAGCAUUCUAAGGGUCAGACAUCAACAGUCUGUCUGCUCCCCCAACCCCAUCUUACUCUUCCUCAAUCUUUGUUCCUAUGCCUGUUCCCUACUAUCAAGGCCAGCAUUAUCAACCUUGACACAUUACAAUACUGUUAUUUAUGAGAAAUUUAUAUUUGGUUAUUGAGAUGACCAAAAUGUAUUUCUUAGUAUAUGUGGUUCUCUCCAAGGUUCCUAGCUCACAGCAAUUAAAACCCUUGGAAUUUCCGGUGGUCAGGGCACUAAAGGUAUUUUGUUAUGUUUAUGAAGGUGUCUUUUGGACCCCACCCAAACUCUAAGGUUGGUUUCCUGGAGGACCAACCAUCUGAUUAAAGGAUCAGAGAGGGGUUGGAGGUUGAAUCAGCCAAUAGCCAAAGAGUUAGUCAAUUAUGACUAAACAAUGAAGCCCCCAUAACACACAAAAGUAAUGAGUAUGGAGAGCUUCUGGGUUGGUGAACCUGUGGGUAGAGAUUGGAGAGAGUGGCUUGUCCUUUUCCUGCACCAUAUGUAUCUCUUAAUUUGUUGAUUCAUAUCCUUUAUCAUAUGAUUUAAUAAGCUGGUAAACCCAGAUUUUUUUCCUGAGUUAUAUGAGCUGCUUUAGCAAAUUAAAAGAAUCUAAGAAGGACAUUAUUGGCAUUUUUAAUCUGUAGCCAGUUGGCCAGAAGCACAGCUCAAGAGGGGUAGCAGCAGAUGAGGAGAAGUUCUGUAUUACAUUGAAUCUCUGGCUCUGUCUUGGAUCAACUUCAAAGGCAUAGUAAUUCUGCAAUAAUAGCUCAACAUAAAUGGAUCUAACAUCAAAGCUACCCUCUGAUAAAGGUAUGUAUUAGCUGUUGAACACUUAUUAUGUGUCUCUGGUUCCAUUUCUGUAGAGAUUAUGUAUAUAUUGAGAAUAUAUAUAUGUAUAUAUGUGUGUAUAUAUAUAUGUGUGUGUGUGUGUGUGUAUAUAUAUAUAUAUAUAUAUAUAUAUAUAUAUAUAUCCUCCAUAAUUCCCAUAUAAUUUCCAUUCACACUAAUUUGAAUUUCACACUUAACUCCAUGAGGCAAUAUUGCCCUUUCCCAUUUUUCCAAUUGAAAACACUGAAGCUUAGGUAAGUUCUACAACUUGUUCAAGAUUUAUUUAGUAAGUAGUAGAUCUGGGGUCAAAAAGUGACACAAGCACAUGUCCCAUAAUGCAAGUAUGAUUUUUUCCCCUUUGCCACCAGAUAACAUGUAACAGGGCAUGACUAUUGACAGAGAAAGGAUCAGCCAUAUUAUGUCAGUACUACACUUACAGAAACCAGUUAACAGAGGAAAACCCUGACAGUCAUGCAAGCCUGUGUGACAAUCAUACUGGAGAACUGGACACUCCUAAUGUUAGUGCAGUGGUGGCACACAGAGAGGUCAAGUGUCAUAAUUAGAGCACUCCUAUGCAAAGAUUACAUCUUCUGAUUGCAACCCAAAUCCACCUGUACUAUUGAGAAUUUCUGUUAUUGCUAAUGACAGUAAUUUGCAGGACUUCUGAAAGAAAAGGAGAGAGAAGAGAAGAUGGGAUAUUCUAUCUAGAUUCAAAAUCAGAGUGACCGUGGCAGGUAUUGACCUGAAGGUAUUGUACCAGUUAGCGACAAUAAAUAAGAACAUGUGGGGAUGAAGUUAAAGCCCACUAGGUUACAUUGUACAUGCUGUGUGGGAACCUGGGAAAGACAGGUGUGAGCAAAUUAUGGCUGGCUCAGCAGCUUCCUAGAAGAUGGUAGAUUCAGAAAACCUUCAGACUGGUAGUUAUGCCUUGAGCUGUAUCUAAUGAACACUGCAUCCCACAGUCUUUGAGCUGAGCAGAUAAAAAACUGUGGGCGUUACAAGUGGGUUCAGUAUUUGCUUUCAUGACUCAUUGCCUAGCUCUUAACCUGUUGCAAAUUGUGUUUGAGAAUGAAGGACAAAGUAUAACAGGAGCUUCCUAAUAUAUGAGAAUAUUUGUUUCUGUAUGCAUUUUCAACUCCAACUCCAUUUCUAUGACAAAUUCCCUAAAAUGCAGUAAAUAAUUUACAGUGUUAGUAUCACAGCAACAGCAGGUCUGUGUGGGUUGGCUGUCGAUUUAUAUCUAAAAUAAAUGGCAUCUUUCAGAAUGAAGGAUGGGUGCAGCAGGAUGUGUGGUUCUGUAUGCUCACUGUUCUCAGGCUAUGUUUCUGUGCCAGAGUGUCUAUGCAGGCGCACUUGACCGCGCCUACAGCUGGCGCAACAUGGUCUCUUCGUGAAACCCUCAUUUAAAGAGUGCACAUGGUGUAACGUUACAAACUCACCUACUUACAUCUCACAGAAAGGAGGAAGUUCUUAUGCCUGGAUAGCAUUUCUCUGGUGUAAAUCCUCUGUUCUAUCCCUUCCAGAGAAUAAACCAUCUAUUGAGUUUUUUGCAGGGGGAGUAGAGGAGGAACAGGCAUUCCCUAAUCAUAAGUGGGAAAGGAAUUAGAAGUGAUAGUGACUUCUUAAACAGAAAUUCAAAAAAAAAUCCUUCUGUUUCAAUUCUACUUUUACCUCCUUUCUUGUAGUUCCAGGUGCUAUAAAUACCCAAGUCCUAUUAGCGAGGAGUUGUUUCUGCAGGGCAAAUUCGGCAUCUCUUAGAUUUCUGCUCUUUUAGUUACAAUUAGGCUUUCUCAACUCCAUUUACAUCAAUUACCAUAGCCAUUCUGCUUUAUAGCCUCCAAAGUUUUGUUAAACUUUUGCCUCCUUUUUUCUUUGUGACGUCUCUGCCUUUAAAAUAUCCCCCCUCCCCUUGUGUCAUUUUAGUGACAUUUUGGAAAUAAGCAUAAGUAGUUUUGUGUUCAACUUGCCAUCUUUAAUAAUCAGGAGUGUGUUUUAUUCUUUAGCUUGUAUUUCUUAAAUUGUAAUUUUUCUUUGGGGACCUGCUAUUAUACUAUAGGAUGAAUUGCCCUGAAUUUUGGUGAUGCAAGAGAGAGUUGGUCUAGAUGAGUUUUUGAAAAUGCAUUUAAUUCCUCACUGGCCCACUAUGAACAGCCACUGAGAAGCUGCAGAUGAAAUAGAAACUAUUGAUUACCUCACCCUUAAACAGACCAAAAUUUCUGGAGCUAGACCUGGGACUGGGAAUUGUCUUUAUUCUCAAAAAUAUAUGCAUCCCUUGUUACUAGGCUAGGAGAUACAAUAGAUCAUUUUUGAAAUGACUGUUCUCAUUCAAUUUACUACCCAUGUCCUCAACUGUAAAGAAAGGAUUCAUGUCAUUGCUUUGAUCCUGAGGAUAAUUGUAUAGUGUGCCUUGAUCUUUUGCUUGUUAUAUAAGGAACACUUGUUAGUAAAUUCAAGAAGUGGAGCUGACCCGCCAAAACUUAUAGAAAUAAUAUCAACCAAAGUUACACAUAAUAAAGUUUGUGAUAGUUGAAAACGGACUCAAGAAGAAUAUCUUAUGGGGACACUGAAAACUGCAAAAAUUGAUUUGAGAAAAAUUAGACAUAUGAGAAACAAAUGGAACAAAAUAUAACUGAGAACAGCUAAAACUAUAUAUAGUAAUAUCUCUUAUUGACUAAAAAUUUAUAGAGAAAUAAAAUAUUCUUGACAAAAUUUAGAUCUGUAAAAAUGACUGAAAAAAUUGGAUUUGGUAGAAUUAAGAAACACAUCAAAGCACAAAAACCCUACAUGUAAAAUGCAGAAGCUAUAAUUGAUGGAAUUCAAUAUGAACAAGGACCUUGAUCUUUCAAUUAUUCAUUAUACAAUCCACACAGAAAAAAAAAUUGGUCACAAUAAACACGAUUUUAAUAAAGCAAAAAUGAGAAUGAUAAAAGAUGGAAAAGGUUUAAAAGCGUCGUAUAGAAUAUUGAUCAAAAAAUGUAACUGGUAAAUGAAGUUUUCUUCAGAAAAUACUAUUUCUACAAAAAGUUAAAAGUGUUCAUAGAAUCUUGAUUUCAAUGUUUUUAUGUGUAGCAAGGUUUAAACAUUCUUGCUGUCAAAAUCUCACUUUUCCUUAACACAUUCUCAGGCUACUAUUUAUUCAUGGCUAGAAUAUUUUUCUCUACAAGUAACGCGAUAUGAAGGCACAGGUAGAAAAGUGCAAGAGUGCGUGGUCUAACUCAGUGCAUGGCAUGGAAGCUCACUACAAUCUCAGCUCUAUGACUCUGUUUGAGAGAGAAGUGGCUUGGAUCGUGUUUUGCAUACAAUAGGACUUUAGUAGUGUUUGUUGAAAAAUGUUUUACUGAAUUACCUCGGUAGGAUAUGUUCAGUCCUUGAUCACAAUUUGUUUGUGGCCCAGGUCAUUGUUCUCUGCUUGUUGAUACAUUUUUAUGUUCCCCAGUUCUAAUUACUUCUGCUUCCAGCCUGUGCUCAGCUGAGGUUCCCUCCCCCCUUGCAACCUGACCCACAGGCUAUCUCCUGAUUCCCAGCAGACCUCAGGCCUGGUGAAGUUUGUCAGCUUCAACUCCCAAUUUAACCUCUUUGUUUAACAAAUCUGCUUCAAGACUUGUUUUACCUUUUACCUUUUUUCUGUUUAUCGGCCCUUGUGUAGUAUCCAAACUUUGAGCUAGAUACUAGACAGGCUAAGAGUUGCAUGAAAAUACAUAAUAAAAGAUCAGUUAUAAAUCUAUAAAUAGCAGUAAAUAAUAAAAUAAAAGCAAUCCCACAGUCCUAAGGAGAAAUUAGGAGGUGAAUACUGUCAGCGUGUAAGAGUUGCAUGAAAAUACAUAAUAAAAGAUCAGUUAUAAAUCUAUAAAUAGCAGUAAAUAAUAAAAUAAAAGCAAUCCCACAGUCCUAAAGAGAAAUUAGGAGGUGAAUACUGUCAGCGUGAAUCAUGGUGAGAUGGAUUAUCUAUGCUCAAGAGUGAAAUAGCCUGCACAAAGUCCAUUUUGGGCAGCAAACCCAUGUUUCAUGAGUCAGGUUUCAAAGUGGCUUCACUUUUUGUUUGAGAUGCAAUCCCAGGACACGAAGGACACCUGUGUGCAAAAGCAAAUAUAUAAAUGUAUCCUGUGCCAAAUAUCAGUUAUUUGAAUUGUGUCACUGUGGGUUAUACUCAUUGCUUUGUCCUUCCAUUCAUGGAAAUCUUUGAAGAUUGGCUCUUUUUAAAACUUUUUUAAUCUUGUAGUAAAUAUGUACAUGUUAAGGAAACGUUAUGGAAAGAAGACAUCCCUAAAGUGGAUAUUUAUGACUGCUUUGUAAACAAGUGUGGGUUUAAAAAAAAAAAGCUGUUUGUGAGAAUGUUUGCACUGUGUUGUUAGCAGAAGGAAAUUAAAAAAAAAACUUGCAAUAUUUUUAAACAGUCAAUUCACAGUUCAAGAAAAAUACAAUAUGUAAAAUAAAUUAAAAAGCAUUGCAUUCUACUGGAUAGAGAUACUUACAAGAAAGCAGAACUUAAAAUUUGAAAGAGCAUUAGAGAUCAGUUAGGAUAAUUUUCCUAUGUUAAAAUAAACAAAUUGAGACCCAAAUAGGUAAGAGGGCUUACCUAAACCCAGGAAGCUAAUAAAUAAUUGUCUAUUUUCUAGGAUGAACAUAUUGUAUAUAACAAUCACUUUUCACUUAAAAUACAUAUUAUUGGUAAUUCACCUUCUGUUAACUAAAGCAAAACAAAGUGUAUAGUUAAUGAGUCAUCUCAGAAUCUGGAUGAAUUUGUGAGACAAAGGAAUACAGGUAAUCAAACUGAAUGAGCAUUUAAUAUAUGCCAAGCACUGUGCUAAGUUCCUUAUUUUGUGCAACAAUGGAACAAUUCAUAUAUUCAUAUACUUACUGAUGAGGGGUUUUAGUGUUGAGAAAGUUCAUGUAAAUUUAUCAAAUGCCCUGAAAUAAAUAUUGGAGUUAGGAUUUGAACCUAGAUCUCUGCCUCCCAAAUGCAUUCCAUUAAACCACAGUGCUGGGAGAUCAUUCUCCAUAAUUCUGGCAUUUCCACAUGUCUUCUGAGCCACUGGAAGGACUCUUGCUUUACAAACAACUUUGGAAGCUAGUGUUGGUAUCUCUUUAAAGAUAGAGAUCCUUAUAGACCUUCAAAGAUAGUAAAGUCUCCCACCUUUCCCCAGAGAAGAUUUGCUUACCUUCUAGGGGGAAAAAACACAAAACAAAACGACAACAACAAACCCUAAUCUUUCUCUCCAGAGGGUAACAUGGGCCAGUUUGACAGCAGUUCCUUCAAGGUUAGCAAUGUCCUGAACUCAGUGUUUCCAACUGUGAUACAGACCUGAGUGUGCAACACCUGGUGGGGAUCAUUCCACAUAGCCCCCAGGGAAGUUGGGGGGGGGGGGCAAGGGAAAUUGAUGUGAACAUACUGUGCCAUAAGUAAGAAAUUGCCCCAUCUGAUGUUGGUUCGUUGUUUUCUUACCAAAUUAUGGAAGCAUAGUGAGUAAAUUUUAGGAGCUGCCUGACCACCUGACUCACACUACUCUAAACCAUAAAUUUGCCUGCCAAACUUGAGUAAAGAGAUCGCAUUUAUUACCUGACAAAGUCUGUGCUCACACAGACAAAUCAUUUAAUUGAGAAAAAAUAUAUGACAUUUCUUGGGCCCAUUGGUUAUAGCUCAGACUCCAUGGAACUCAUUAAAAGCCAAGGGAGACAAAAUAACAAGCAUUAAUGAGAUACACUAACAAGAGAACAGCAGUUAUUUACUAAUUUAAUUUAGUUAAUUUGCAAUUUGGUUAAUUUCUAAAAAGCUCUAAUUUUCUUUAUAAUUCAGUGCUGUUUGUUAUCAUAUAAGAAAUUGUUCCCUGAGCAUUUCUUUGGUACUCUUAAUCAGGAAGUUGGCUACUAUUUCUAAUCAAAUGCCCACCUUUCGCCAACUUUGUUCUUUUUAUGCUACCUCAUCCCAGCCUUCUUGGCCAAAAAAAUCAUCCACUUCUAUUUACACUUUGAAUUAUUGGGAAUAGAAAGCCCGUAUUGUAAGCAUCCCUACCACAUGAGCCAGUUGACACCUAAGAUGAAUAUACUAAAAAUUAUUUAAUCUUUCCCCAUUAAGAAAAUAAUUCAAUUCUCAUAAUUGUUACAAUUGUCUUUUUGUGAAUUACUUUGUAUUGUAUAGAAUCUUCCAACAUUUGUAGCCUCUAAAUCUGAAAACAUAAUGCUAGAAGCAUUGUCACAUUCACAUGGUCACCAACCAGCCUGUGAAAUAAUGCAUAUAUAUGCUGCUUAGAGUAAGCCUUGGCCCUUUCGGCUACCAGCUCACAUAGUUCUAUUGAGUGGUGUCUGUUCAUCUCCAUGAAUAUGUGCCUGCUCUGCCCAAACCUGUUGCUCCUCCACUGCUAUGUUGGAUCUGAUGAGUUUGUGACCCCCACUUGCCUGACCUGCCCUUGGUCAACAGAGCCCUUUGGAGCAAUGGUUUUUAAAGAGAACAUAGAGAAAAGAAGUAUGUUUAAACAGCUGAAUGAAAGGCAAUUCUCCAGUCUUUUCAAAAACAACUAUGAUAAAAGAAAGUUGACUAUGAGGGGCAGGGAGAACUUUCUGCGUGUCAGCAAGAAUUUGUGGUUAAGUUUUUCUCACUUAAAAUUUUGCUUGUAUGAAUCAGACCAUGGUAAACUGAAGCACUCUAUUUCUAUUCCAUGCCAGGAUAAUUAACUAGUUUUUUUUUUAUUGUGGUGAAAUUAAAAAAAAAAAUAGUCAAGACAUGGGAAAUGAAACAGUCACAGUUAUUCUUUCUUUGUUUUCUGUUUAUACCUCCGUGCCAGGGGGUGAGGCAAAUUAAAGAUAUUUGGUCAUUGAUUUCAUGGUAUCCUUGCAAGACAAUGGAAACUAAUUAUUUUAUAGAUACUGUUGGAGAGAAAUAUUUCCCUCUACCAUUCAGUAUUCUCUGACUGGUCUAAGAAUUAAACUGACAUGGGACAGACUAACUGCAGAAAAUCAAAUUGAAUUUCUUAUGUGUGAGGAAUCCAUCUUACCAUGAGAUUGCAAAGACAGUAAGAUGAAAUGAGGUAAACAUGUCAUGCUGAACUAAGAAGAGGAUAGGGGUAUGGGACUUCAAAGGGAUGGGAAGUAAGUCAUAGGAAGAUGAAAAAGAAUAAGUGUUUGGUAAACAAAUGUUUGCUGAGCCAUACAGAAACAAUGGGACACACAGAAGAAUUUUAACAAACAGACUUUGCUAAAGUUCCUCCCUGUGUACCGUACCUAGUUUGUAUUAUACUAUAGUUAUCUAUGGUGUUAACUGCCUUCCUGGGACAGGUCCUCUAUCUAAAUUUCUGUUAGGCAGUUAGGGGGAAGGUCAGAGUUUCUUCUUGAGUCUUUUAGGACUUGCUUUUUUUUUUUUUUUAACUCAAAAUGAUCUGAAUACCAAAGGUGUACGUCUUGGGGAAACUUUUUCUGAACACCUACAAUACUGAGAGAAGUAAAGAGGCCUCAAUGUAGCUUGCAUAAGUCAUUGGUAGUGAAAUCCCAAAACUCAGUUUAAUUUUAUAAUUGUUCAUGGAUUUAAGUCAAGUCCUACAGAAGACCCCUUCUAGGAAGGGGGCAUGCCAUUAAGCACACUUUGAUGCAUUGGUGCUUUUUGGUGUUUUGUGACCCUUUCAGAACCAAGAUUUCCAAAAAGGCAUGGCAAGGUCUGAGCAAAAAUAAAUAAAGUAAAAUAAAAUAAAAUAAAAUAAAAUAAAAUAAAAUAAAAU